CAAGUAGAAUAAAUGAUCGCGGCUGUACAGACGCAAGGGUACAGGUGAGGAAAGUCCGGGCUUCACAGGGCAGGAUGCCGGAUAACGUCCGGUGGAGGUGACUCCAAGGCUAGUGCAACAGAAAACAGACAGCUAUGCGUAGUAUUGCGGAACAAUGUGAAAGCAUUGUGACGCAAUACUACAUUGCAUAGUGAUGGUGGAAUGGCAGUGUAAGAGACUACCGCUGCAACGGUAACGGUGCAGGCUGUGUAAACCCCAUCCGAAGCAAGACCGAAACGAAAGCGACAGAUUGGCCCGAUCUGCUUUCAGGUGGGUCGCUUGAGAUAUCCGGUAACGGAUAUCCUAGAUAGAUGAUCAUUCACGACAUAACCCGGCUUAUCGUUCUGCUUGGUUU
rnacentral:RNase_P_RNA from 1 species